CACGGUUGCAUUGAAUUGCAUACCAUUGGUCUAGUGCCGCAGAUCCUUGUGUGUAAGUUCAGGAAUUCUGUGAAUUCUGCUACAGGGAGCUGAGCAAACAUUUCCA